rnacentral:lncRNA from 1 species
GAUCAAUCAAACUCGACCUGCCAAGAUUUACGGGGGAGGAUCCGCAGGGAUGGCUUUACCAAACGGAGGAAUACUUCACAUUUCACUCAAUCCGCAGGGAUGAAAAUCCAAUAGUCUGAUUGCUCCUCUUUCCUAUCAAGUGCUAUAUUCGGGAACCCAUCUGGAAGCUUCUUUCUUCUUCCUCCUCUUUUCGGUCUGGUGCUAUAUUUGGGAACCCAUCUGGAAGUUGUUGUUUGUAAGUUUGUUCACAGGUUUUCUUAAACAAAAUCCAAUCAUUUAGUUGUUGUCUUCAAAAUUAUUACUAUGUGUAAAAUCAAAAGUGGUUGAGUCUUAUUGCCCUGCCCCAAAAAUAUCAUGGAGGAUUUGAAUAAGUGAUUCGGGAG